CCAGACACCCAACAUGAAGAUCAUUCUUUUCGUUUGCGUUCUCUUGGCUUCCAUUCUCUUCUCACCCUCUUCAAUUCUCGCUCGAGAAUUGGCUCAAAGUGAUGCAAGUGGUUCCAGCGGAACUGGGAAUCCCAACAAGCCAGCAAUCACGUGUGGUAAGCCUGGCACCCCAAGCUACAAAGCUUGCGUAAAGAAACCGAACCCCAACAAAAAGUGUGUUCCCUCUACAUACAAAAAGUGCGGCCCACAGAAAGACCCAUGAAUAAGUCAUAAUGAUGUGUAAUGAAAGUAUGAAUAAGUAGUACGUAUGCUAUAUAUAUAUAUAUAUAGUGCAUGCAUGGGUUGAGAAUAUGUAGUUUGCUAUAUGUUUAUAUAAUUUCAUAAGCUGUGUACGUGUGAAUAAAAAGAGCUUACUACUCUUUGCUCGGUUUGUAGCAAA